GGGGGGCCCUACGGGGCGCAGCAGGCGCGAAAACUUUACACUGCGCGAAAGCGCGAUAAGGGGACCUCGAGUGCGUGCGCAAUGCGUACGCUUUUCAGAUGCCUAAAAAGCAUGUGGAAUAAGGGCCGGGCAAGACCGGUGCCAGCCGCCGCGGUAACACCGGCGGCUCAAGUGGUGGCCGCUAUUAUUGGGCUUAAAGGGUCCGUAGCCGGACCAGUUAGUCCCUUGGGAAAUCUUACGGCUUAACCGUAAGGCU
rnacentral:rRNA from 1 species